AGCAUCUAAACGAGGAGCGAUUAGAAGCUAGACGCUUCGGCCUAUGGUUUCAAGAGCUGAUGGAGUGUGAUUCAGGGUACUCGUCAGCUGACUCGUCAGCUGUCUCGUUAUUGGCGUACCGCGAUUAGUACGAGAUAUACAAACGGGCGGGGGGAGAACGCGCAAUACACAGGGGUGCGAGGCUUUCGGGGAUGUGCAACCCCCGGGAGGGCGGAUCAUCAUUGCGCACGAUACAGCUCGUUAUUUCAAACGUUUUCGACUACGUGGUCGGGAGAUAACACUGCGUAUCCGCCAGCCUCAAGCUGGCGCAAACGUGACAGCAUGGCUUGAAGGAGCAUUCCGCGAUCUUCUGACGCAUCUCACGAGUCACUGUGAGGGUGGUGACUACGCGGGGAUCUCGUUCUCCGCGAGCAGCUUAACACACGGCCCCGUCUGGCUUUCAUUCCGUCCUGUCCGCGCCUAUACAUUUGUAGAUAUCUGGCAAUUAAUAACAAGCAUAGCUCAAAGUGCAGCGUCUCUGGAUAUUGAUGAUUCUUUCCAAAUAAAAGUAUGUAUCGUUAAAGGCGUGGAGGGUAGGGGGCGAAAACGUUUGACACACGAGGGCGUUGCUAAAAAAUCAAUUUUAACGAUUCGAAAUACCGACAAUCUGUGUCUACCGCGCUCGUUAGUAACAGCACGCGCGUACGCGGAAAGGGGUGAGAUACGCUCAGGGGCUCUGCAUUCUAGAUGGCAGCGUAUACGACAGAUUAACGGGUCGCUUCAAAAAGAGGCGGCGCUUGAGCUCACGAGAAGCGCAAAUGUUGUUAUACAGCCCGCUGGCUGCGGUAUGCGCGAAAUUGCUGUGUACCAGAAUUAUUUGGCUCGCGAGGGGUUAGCUAUCGUGGUUUUCGAGUUUUUGACUUUGGGGCGACGCGAAAGACCGGUGUUUGACGGUACACAGACGGUUAUGGAUACAGUAGGCUCAGUCCGGCACACGUUAUACAUUCUGUAUUAUGAGCGGUCGCAUCAUUUCCAGCCUAUCUUGAAUCUGCGUGGUGCUGUAGGCAGCUUAAACUUCUGCGCAAUCUGUAACGCCCGUUCUCGUCGGGAUCAUAGAUGUUUAAAAAAGAAAUGCCCUCGCUGCCUUCAAGCACCGCCCUGCGCUCUGGGAGCAGCUGCCGCGAUCAGAUGCGAGACAUGUAACCGCGAUUUUUUUGGGGAACAAUGUUUAGAAAAUCACAGGGCUGUUACCAUCCGUCGUAAACACAGGGUAAACACUGUUUGCGAGUCUCUUCAGCGGUGCCGUAACUGCUUUCGCGCAAUAAGAUCUUUAGAGAAAAAGACGCAUGUGUGCGGGGAGGGUUUCUGUAAAACGUGUAAAUCGCGGCACCCCUAUAAUCGCCUGUGCUAUAUGAGGCCUAUUCGC
rnacentral:lncRNA from 1 species